AAUCUUGGAAAAAUUUUGGGAAAAAUUCCAGAAAAAACCUUGGAAAAAUUCUGGGAAAAAUUCCAGGAAAAACCUUGGAAAAAAUUGGAAAAAAGCUUGGGAAAAAUCUGGAAAAAAACUUGGAAAAAUUCUGGGAAAAACU
rnacentral:lncRNA from 1 species